rnacentral:lncRNA from 1 species
GGUGGUGAGCAUCCUGGCAAAAGUAAAGAGAUAGUACCCGAGGAUCAAGAAUCGAAGUACUCGAAAUUCGACUCUCGAAAUAGUGAGUAACUUUACUAUCGUCUUAAUUAUCUAAAGUGGUUUUUAUCUGAUUUUGUGAUUUUAUGGAAAAUGAGUUUAAAUGGUAAAUCUUUAUGUUUUAUAAGCAAAAUGUGAUUAAAUGAAAAUGAUUUUAUAAAAUUGUCUUGA